rnacentral:tRNA from 1 species
AGGGUUGUGGCUCAGUGGUGGAGCACUUGCCUAGCAUGCGUGAGGCACUGGGUUCAAUCCCCAGCAACACAA